rnacentral:misc_RNA from 1 species
GAAAUGCGAUAAGUAAUGUGAAUUGCAGAAUUCAGUGAAUCAUCGAAUCUUUGAACGCACCUUGCACCCUUUGGUAUUCCGAAGGGUACACCCGUUUGAGUGUCAUUGUAAUCUCACUACAACCGCUUUUUUGUGGUUGCAUGUGGACUUGGAUGUUGCCGUGUCACAAACGGCUCGUCUGAAAUGCCUGAGUGUACCCCUGCUUUGCGGCGUAUUCGGUGUGAUAAAUCUUCACCGGAGUUGACCCUCAGGGUCACGUCUGCUUGACAUGGCUCUAUGCUUCCAACUGUCCUGACAAGACAAUCUUUGACAAUUUGACCUCAAAUCGGGUGGGACUACCCGCUGAACUUAA